CAUGAUCAAGGCACGUAUGGAUUUGUUGUCAAGUUUUAUCUUCUUAUUCUUAUGAUAUGCUUAAUUUUUAUUAAUUACAUUAUCUAAAAUAUUUAAUACCUUUAUAUAUUAGCUGCAACAGUUGCAUAAUGGACGGUUGGUAGAACUUCAUUGAAAUUUUUAAUGGAAGUCAAAAGGAGACAUGGCAUUUUUAGUGAUGGUAAGGCACAAGAAGUGUGUUGGGUACACGUAUGAAUCACAUUUUGGUGUGAGUGAGUUUUGGGGAAGUCCCAUGCCACAACAAGGGGGUGCUAGAGUGAGUCUUGGUGUAUACUUUCUGUUGGUAAAUGAAGCAUAAUUUAUCGAAGAAAGGUGCAACCCAUGCUUGGAGAAUGUAGUACCAUUAAACAAAGCUUAAAUUUAACUGCAGUCAUACCCGCAUAAGAUAUUGAUCGGGAGGCAAGCGCAAAUUGCGACGAUUAAGCAAAUGGGUGGACUUGAUGGUUUGCCGAAGAGAGUAAACAUGAAACUUUUGGUGUUGGUCAUGUAGCAUUUCUACGAGUUUAGGUAAGUUCUCUAACUUAGCUUCAUAUCAUAGAAUUUGAAAUGUAUAUUUAUAUAGUAUUCGAUUUAGUGCUUAGGAUAAUCAGGUUGGUUGGUUUAACCGAUGAACCUGCAUACAACCUCUAUAUAUAUAUAUAUAUAUAUAUAUAUUAUACGUUUUAAAAAUAUCAACCUAACCUAACACACUAUGGGUAGGUGAGGCAUACGAUGUAGGAAAUAUGUAAAAAAACUGAAUCCCUGUUUUAAUUCUGUCCUUUGAUACCUUAUGUGAAAAAAAGUGUUUGUUAUUUUGCAUAGGAUAUGCGUAAUAAUAGCUGAAGAUGGUAGAUAGAAGAGAAAGGUGGCACUUGCAUGGAAUAGCUUUUGGUACUGAUUCAAUCACUUUCUCUAAAGACUUUCCUAGCGGAUUUGCUGUUUUUAUGAAAGACAAUUAUCUGUUAGAAAGACAUUAAUCUCAAGCUCAAGGCUUUAGAAGCGGCAGGUAGCAAGUCCGUUGGAAGAAGUCAUGUAAUAGAAGUAUAGGGGGACAUUUUGUUUUGACUGUGAAAAUUCAUAUAUUACAAGAUUCUAAUAGAAGUCAUGUAUGUUAAAGUUCUUUAAUUCAAACAAUAUUUCAUGUUG